rfam:Ophiophagus hannah scaffold4393.1, whole genome shotgun sequence.
CCAAAGGCUCUUUUCAGAGCCACCCACAGGCUUUUUGGAAGAGCUU